rnacentral:rRNA from 1 species
GGCUAAAUACUCCUAGCUGACCGAUAGUGAACUAGUACCGUGAGGGAAAGGCGAAAAGAACCCCGGUGAGGGGAGUGAAAUAGACCCUGAAACCGCGUACGUACAAGCAGUCGGAGCCUGUCUUUUGAUGGGUGACGGCGUACCUUUUGUAUAAUGGGUCAGCGACUUAUUGUAGCUAGCAAGCUUAACCGUUUAGGGUAGGCGUAGGGAAACCGAGUC